AACGAACGCUGGCGGCAUGCCUAACACAUGCAAGUCGAACGAGAUCUUCGGGUCUAGUGGCGCACGGGUGCGUAACGCGUGGGAAUCUGCCCUUUGGUUCGGAAUAACAGUUGGAAACGACUGCUAAUACCGGAUGAUGACGAAAGUCCAAAGACUUAUCGCCAGAGGAUGAGCCCGCGUAGGAUUAGCUAGUUGGUGUGGUAAAGGCGCACCAAGGCGACGAUCCUUAGCUGGCCUGAGAGGAUGAUCAGCCACACUGGGACUGAGACACGGCCCAGACUCCUACGGGAGGCAGCAGUGGGGAAUAUUGGACAAUGGGCGAAAGCCUGAUCCAGCAAUGCCGCGUAAGUGAUGAAGGCCUUAGGGUUGUAAAGCUCUUUUACCCGGGAUGAUAAUGACAGUACCGGGAGAAUAAGCUCCGGCUAACUCCGUGCCAGCAGCCGCCGUAA
rnacentral:rRNA from 1 species